rnacentral:rRNA from 1 species
GUAAGGAAUAUUGGUCAAUGGACGAAAGUCUGAACCAGCCAUGCCGCGUGGAGGAUGAAGGUCCUCUGGAUUGUAAACUUCUUUUAUCUGGGACGAAAAAAGGUCUUUCUAGAUCGUCUGACGGUACAAGAUGAAUAAGCACCGGCUACCUCCGUGCCAGCAGCCGAGGUAAGACGGAGGGUGCAAGCGUUAUCCGGAUUCACUGGGUUUAAAGGGUGCGUAGGUGGGUUGGUAAGUCAGUGGUGAAAUCUUCGAGCUUAACUCGGAAACUGCCAUUGAUACUAUCAGUCUUGAAUAUUGUGGAGGUUAGCGGAAUAUGUCAUGUAGCGGUGAAAUGCUUAGAUAUGACAUAGAACACCAAUUGCGAAGGCAGCUGGCUACACAUAUAUUGACACUGAGGCACGAAAGCGUGGGGAUCAAACAGGAUUAGAUACCCGUGUAGUCC